AAGUGGAUUCAGUUAUUCUUAAACGAUUGUUCCGUGUUAUUUUCCCUUUGCGCUCUGAACUARAAUGAMUAWCACCUACACCUCUAGGUUUCAUUUUGUAAACGGAGUGGCACAUAGCCGCGGCCAGCAUUGUGCGCAYGSGCAAAAUUUCCGGAGUCCGUAGAAUCUGUGGGAUUUACAAAAAUYGGGGACAACAGAUUACUGAGCCGAAUGKAAAUAUUUUCUCCAACACGGAUCAUGACCAGAAAACAUCAAAGUGGCGUCACUUUGUGACUUCUGUUUCCGGCUUCUCUUGGGACUUCUACCACCACCCUGACCACUGGAGCCACGUUUCUGUAUUUUAUUGAAAAAUAAUGGGAUCUACCUUGUUUGAAAUAAACUAAGAACGGUCACGGUCCUGAUCAUUCAAUAAAACCAGCACAACGCAGAGAGGAUCCGGUUACACAACYGUUCGCAGGUGAUCAACAGGGCUGACAUCAGGUCCGGUAAAUGGGGAAUAAGCAGGUCAAACGUCAGACGUACCCUGGCUGACCCUUUCAAUACAUCGCACAGGAGACUUCAUGAGGGAAUCCAAUUUGAUCCACUGGGUCCUCAGCAGCUAGUAAAAGUCAACAAGCCGUCACUCAUAUUUCCCCUUUUCCCCUUCACAUGCCUGCAUAGUCGACUUCCCUCUCAGCUUUCUUUCUGUCUUUCCCUUGUACUUGACAUCYCACUUUCUCUUCAGAACCUAUACUUAAUGAUAAGUAAAUAUGUUUUAAAUACAAACAAAAAAUA